CUCCUCCUCCUCUUCCUCCUCCUCCUCCUGCUGUUAAAGCCAUCGACCGGUGGGUUAUGUGCUUUAACCCCACUGGCACAAAGCGGCCUAAAAUCAGUCCAACCAACCAGAGCAAAGGUCCUCUUAUCUAUUUAUUGAUUUAUUUAUCCUGCACUCUGUGUGUGUCUGUUCAUGGCGCAUUUUAAAAUAAUAGGAUAUAAAUUUAACCCGGUCUAAAAAUAUGCAGACAAGACAAAUAAUCUGGAAAGCUUAAUCUGGAUGUUUGCUGGACAAGCUGAAAGAGAAGGAGCAGACCUGACCCGAGGAACCGUAUCUCCACCUCAAACACACCCCAGGAGAACUUUCUCCUCCACACAUCUCCAUGAAGUUCCUCUCACCCUCUUCAGGUCAAAGUUCUUCUGCGGCUGGACGUCAGCGUGGACCUGCAUCAGGAGCACGAUGGUCACGGUGACGCUCACCAGCGUGAUCUUCAUCGUGGAUCUCCAGAAGGGGAAAAAAAACUAGACUGAACAAAAACAGCUGGAGCAGGACGGAGCCAGGACACUGAGCGCCGCCCACUCGUCCAAUCGGCCAAUCGGAGACAGGGACGGGCUUGAACAGAGUGGCUUUUCAUGAGAAGAAGCUAAAGCGUUGUUCCUGAGUACCGAACGGAAAAGUGAGAGACGUGGACACACUGGUCAGGAGAACAAUGACGGUUCAUUUCAAAACAAGGUUUCUCUGACCACAUUCCUGUUUCCCAGCUAGAUUUUUUUACUUGUUUUUAUUUUUCUUGGAACCAAAAAUAACUUCAUGUCGACCUCCACCUUCAGUUAACAUGCAGCCGGAACACCCCCACCCUCGAGAGAGAGAAAAAAUAAUAA